rnacentral:misc_RNA from 1 species
GCGGAAUCAGAAGAUGGUGGGGAUGCAAGUGCUAGCAAGUCUGAAGAAAUGGUUGUGCCAGAGGUAAACAAGAAUAUUUUAGAGGAACUUGAAGCUAUGGGCUUUCCAACAGCACGAGCAACCCGUGCACUUUUUUAUUCUGGUAAUGCCAGUCUUGAGGCUGCAGUCAAUUGGGUAGUUGAACAUGAAAAUGAUCCGGAGAUAGAUCAGAUGCCUUUGGUUCCUAAGGAUACAAAGGUUGAGGCUCCAAAGCCUUCU